AUUGAACGCUGGCGGCAGGCCUAACACAUGCAAGUCGAACGAGUGGCAGACGGGUGAGUAAUGUCUGGGAAACUGCCUGAUGGAGGGGGAUAACUCCUGGAAACGGUAGCUACUACCGCAUACCAUCAGAUGUGGCCACAUGGGAUUAGCUAGUUGGUGGGGUAACGGCACACCAAGGCGACGCUCCCUAGCUGGUCUGAGAGGAUUACCGGCCACACUGGAACGGAGACAAGGUCCAGACUCCUAAGGAAGGCAGCAGUGGGGAAUAUUGGACAAUGGGCGCAAGCCUGAUGCAGCCCCGCCGCGUGUAUGAAGAAGGCCUUCGGGUUGUAAAGUACUUUCAGCGGGGAGGCGUUACCCGCAGAAGAAGCACCGGCUAACUCCGUGCCAGCAGCCGCGGUAAUAC
rnacentral:rRNA from 1 species